AUUGAACGCUGGCGGCAGGCCUAACACAUGCAAGUCGAACGAGUGGCGGACGGGUGAGUAAUGUCUGGGAAACUGCCUGAUGGAGGGGGAUAACUACUGGAAACGGUAGCUAAUACCGCAUACCAUCAGAUGUGCCCAGAGGGGAUUAGCUAGUUGGUGGGGUAACGGCUACCCAAGGCCACGAUCCCUAGUGUGUCUGAGAGGAUGACCAGCCAAACUGGAACUGAGACACGGUCAAGACUCCUACGGGAGGUAGCAGUGGGUAAUAUUGCACAAUGGGCGCAAGCCUGAUGAAGCCAUGCCGCGUGUAUGAAGAAGGCCUUCGGGUUGUAAAGUACUUUCAGCGGGGAGGCGUUACCCGCAGAAGAAGCACCGGCUAACUCCGUGCCAGCAGCCGCGGUAAUUC
rnacentral:rRNA from 1 species